GAGUCUUAAUUGGGCGUUAAGUUGCAGGGUAUAGACCCGAAACCCGGUGAUCUAGCCAUGGGCAGGUUGAAGGUUGGGUAACACUAACUGGAGGACCGAACCGACUAAUGUUGAAAAAUUAGCGGAUGACCUGUGGCUGGGGGUGAAAGGCCAAUCAAACCGGGAGAUAGCUGGUUCUCCCCGAAAGCUAUUUAGGUAGCGCCUCGUGAAUUCAUCUCCGGGGGUAGAGCACUGUUUCGGCUAGGGGGCCAUCCCGGCUUACCAACCCGAUGCAAACUGCGAAUACCGGAGAAUGUUAUCACGGGAGACACACGGCGGGUGCUAACGUCCGUCGUGAAGAGGGAAACAACCCAGACCGCCAGCUAAGGUCCCAAAGUCAUGGUUAAGUGGGAAACGAUGUGGGAAGGCCCAGACAGCCAGGAUGUUGGCUUAGAAGCAGCCAUCAUUUAAAGAAAGCGUAAUAGCUCACUGGUCGAGUCGGCCUGCGCGGAAGAUGUAACGGGGCUAAACCAUGCACCGAAGCUGCGGCAGCGACACUGUGUGUUGUUGGGUAGGGGAGCGUUCUGUAAGCCUGCGAAGGUGGCCUGUGAGGGUUGCUGGAGGUAUCAGAAGUGCGAAUGCUGACAUAAGUAACGAUAAAGCGGGUGAAAAGCCCGCUCGCCGGAAGACCAAGGGUUCCUGUCCAACGUUAAUCGGGGCAGGGUGAGUCGACCCCUAAGGCGAGGCCGAAAGGCGUAGUCGAUGGGAAACGGGUUAAUAUUCCCGUACUUGGUGUUACUGCGAAGGGGGGACGGAGAAGGCUAUGUUGGCCGGGCGACGGUU
rnacentral:rRNA from 1 species